rnacentral:tRNA from 1 species
GGGGGAAUAGCUCAGUGAUAGAGUGCAUGCCUAGCGUGCAUGAGGUCCUGGGUUCAAUCUCCAGUACCUCCA